AGCGAACGCUGGCGGCAGGCUUAACACAUGCAAGUCGAACGCCCCGCAAGGGGAGUGGCAGACGGGUGAGUAACACGUGGGGAUCUGCCCAAUGGUACGGAAUAACUCAGGGAAACUUGUGCUAAUACCGUAUGUGCCCGCAAGGGGAAAGAUUUAUCGCCAUUGGAUGAACCCGCGUCGGAUUAGCUAGUUGGUGUGGUAAAGGCGCACCAAGGCGACGAUCCGUAGCUGGUCUGAGAGGAUGAUCAGCCACACUGGGACUGAGACACGGCCCAGACUCCUACGGGAGGCAGCAGUGGGGAAUAUUGGACAAUGGGCGCAAGCCUGAUCCAGCCAUGCCGCGUGAGUGAUGAAGGCCUUAGGGUUGUAAAGCUCUUUCGCCGACGAAGAUAAUGACGGUAGUCGGAGAAGAAGCCCCGGCUAACUUCGUGCCAGCCGCCGCCGUAAUAC
rnacentral:rRNA from 1 species